AGAGUUUGAUCAUGGCUCAGGAUGAACGCUAGCGGCAGGCUUAAUACAUGCAAGUCGAGGGGCAUCAAGGUACACGAAAGUGUAUUGUUGGCGACCGGCGGACGGGUGAGUAAUAGGUAGGUAACCUACCUCAUACUGAGGCAUAGCUGGGAGAAAUUCCAGGUAAUUCCUCAUGAGGUUAUAUGACACAUGUGAUAUAAUCAAAGGUAUCGCAAGGUACUGGUAUGAGAUGGGCUUACUGACCAUUAGCUAGUUGGUGAGAUAAGAGCUCACCAAGGCGAAGAUGGUUAGGGGUUUUGUGAGAGAGAUCCCCCACAUUGGAACUGAGAUACGGUCCAGACUCCUACGGGAGGCAGCAGUAGGGAAUAUUGGGCAAUGGGCGGAAGCCUGACCCAGCCAUGCCGCGUGAAGGAAGACGGCCUUAUGGGUUGUAAACUUCUUUACUAUGCGACUAACUAGAUUUACGAGAUAAUUCUAUAGAAUGUAGCAUAGCAAAAAGCACCGGCUAACUCCGUGCCAGCAGCCGCGGUAAUACGGAGGGUGCGAGCGUUAUUCGGAAUUACUGGGUUUAAAGGGUGCGUAGGCGGCUAAGUAAGUUGUCAUUGAAAGGCUACAGCUCAACUGUAGUAGUGGUGGCGAUACUGCUUAGCUAAGAACAUGGGAGGGGUACUUGGAAUGUGUGGUGUAGCGGUGAAAUGCGUAGAUAUCACACAGAACACCAGAGGCGAAGGCGGAGUACUAGACCAUAGUUGACGCUGAGGCACGAAAGCGUGGGGAUCAAACAGGAUUAGAUACCCUGGUAGUCCACGCCCUAAACGAUGAUCACUAGAUAUUGGCGACAAACAGUCAGUGUCCAAGCGAAAGUGAUAAGUGAUCCACCUGGGGACUACGGCCGCAAGGUUAAAACUCAAAUGAAUUGACGG
rnacentral:rRNA from 1 species